rnacentral:rRNA from 3 species
GAUACUUGGUGUGAAUUGCAGAAUCCCGUGAACCAUCGAGUCUUUGAACGCAAGUUGCGCCCGAAGCCUUUUGGCCGAGGGCACGUCUGCCUGGGCGUCACGC